UAAAAAUUGUGUUGAACAUUUAUGUAAAGCUUCUGGAAGGAGAUGGGAAAGACAUCCUUAACCAACUUAAUAGAACUUUCACUUUUAAGGAACUGCAGUGCAGAAACGGAGAAAGCUCACCAAAGAAGAGAAAGGACAUGCUUCACUCAGGUCAAAUUGAACAAGUUCUGCGCCUUAUGCUCCAAGAGAUCCACAAUAAAGAAUAUCAUAAUUUUUCAAACCAGAUGCCCACGUAGAGGUACAUCAUGAUUCUUCAUUUGAAACCAG
rnacentral:lncRNA from 1 species